UGUAUGAUGUUGGCCACAGAGUGCCCCC
rnacentral:piRNA from 1 species